rnacentral:ncRNA from 2 species
CCUUUGUCGCUAAGAUUCGA